UGGGGAAUAUUGCACAAUGGGCGCAAGCCUGAUGCAGCAACGCCGCGUGAACGAUGAAGGUCUUCGGAUCGUAAAGUUCUGUUGCAGGGGAAGAUAAUGACGGUACCCUGUGAGGAAGCCCCGGCUAACUACGUGCCAGCAGCCGCGGUAAUACGUAGGGGGCUAGCGUUAUCCGGAUUUACUGGGCGUAAAGGGUGCGUAGGUGGUCUUUCAAGUCGGUGGUUAAAGGCUACGGCUCAACCGUAGUUAGCCUCCGAAACUGGAAGACUUGAGUGCAGGAGAGGAAAGUGGAAUUCACAGUGUAGCGGUGAAAUGCGUAGAUAUUGGGAGGAAAACCAGUAGCGAAGGCGGCUUUCUGGACUGCAACUGACACAGAGGCACGAAAGCGUGGGUAGCAAACAGG
rnacentral:rRNA from 1 species